GUGCUUGCUUUAGAAACACAUAUACUGAAAUUGGAAUGAUACAGGGAAGAUUAGCACAGCCCAUGCACAAGGAUGAUGUGCAAAUUUGAGAAGUGUUCCUUAUUUAA
ensembl:snRNA U6 U6 spliceosomal RNA